GAUGAACGCUGGCGGCGUGCCUAAUACAUGCAAGUCGAGCGAACGGACGAGAAGCUUGCUUCUCUGAUGUUAGCGGCGGACGGGUGAGUAACACGUGGAUAACCUACCUAUAAGACUGGGAUAACUUCGGGAAACCGGAGCUACUACCGGAUAAUAUUUUGAACCGCAUGGUUCAAAAGUGAAAGACGGUCUUGCUGUCACUUAUAGAUGGAUCCGCGCUGCAUUAGCUAGUUGGUAAGGUAACGGCUUACCAAGGCAACGAUGCAUAGCCGACCUGAGAGGGUGAUCGGCCACACGGGAACUGAGACACGGUCCAGACUCCUACGGGAGGCAGCAGUAGGGAAUCUUCCGCAAUGGGCGAAAGCCUGACGGAGCAACGCCGCGUGAGUGAUGAAGGUCUUCGGAUCGUAAAACUCUGUUAUUAGGGAAGAACAUAUGUGUAAGUAACUGUGCACAUCUUGACGGUACCUAAUCAGAAAGCCACGGCUAACUACGUG
rnacentral:rRNA from 1 species